CAGUAGCCACGGGAAUACGAAGGGUGCAAGCGUUAAUCGGAAUUACUGGGCGUAAAGCGUGCGUAGGCGGUGAGUUAAGUCUGCUGUGAAAUCCCCGGGCUCAACCUGGGAAUGGCAGUGGAUACUGGCUCGCUAGAGUGUGUCAGAGGAUGGUGGAAUUCCCGGUGUAGCGGUGAAAUGCGUAGAGAUCGGGAGGAACAUCAGUGGCGAAGGCGGCCAUCUGGGACAACACUGACGCUGAGGCACGAAAGCGUGGGGAGCAAACAGGAUUAGAUACCCGCGUAGUCCCUGUCUCUUAUAC
rnacentral:rRNA from 1 species